GAUGAACGCUGACAGAAUGCUUAACACAUGCAAGUCGAUUCGAUUUACCUUUGGGUAUUGAGGAUGGCGGACGGGUGAGUAACGCGUAAGGAACUUGCCUCUUGGACUGGGACAACUGUUGGAAACGACAGCUAAUACCGGAUAUUAUGAGAUUCUCGCAUGAGAAACUUAUGAAAGCUAUAUGCGCCAAGAGAGAGCCUUGCGUUCCAUUAGCUAGUUGGUGGGGUAAUGGCCCACCAAGGAGACGAUGGAUAGCCGGCCUGAGAGGGUGAACGGCCACAAGGGGACUGAGACACGGCCCAGACUCCUACGGGAGGCAGCAGUGGGGAAUAUUGCACAAUGGGCGAAAGCCUGAUGCAGCAACGCCGCGUGAGCGAUGAAGGCCUUCGGGUCGUAAAGCUCUGUCCUCAAGGAAGAUAAUGACGGUACUUGAGGAGGAAGCCCCGGCUAACUACGUGCCAGCCGCCGCUGUAACAC
rnacentral:rRNA from 1 species